rnacentral:rRNA from 1 species
GACGAACGCUGGCGGCGUGCUUAACACAUGCAAGUCGAGCGGAAAGGCUCCUUCGGGGGUACUCGAGCGGCGAACGGGUGAGUAACACGUGAGUAAUCUGCCCUUGGCUUCGGGAUAGCCACCGGAAACGGUGAUUAAUACCGGAUACGACAACUUCUCGCAUGGGAUGGUUGUGGAAAGUUUUUUCGGCCAGGGAUGUGCUCGCGGCCUAUCAGCUUGAUGGUGAGGUAAUGGCUCACCAUGGCUUCGACGGGUAGCCGGCCUGAGAGGGUGACCGGUCACACUGGGACGGAGACCCGGCCCAGACUCCUACGGGAGGCAGCAGUGGGGAAUAUUGGACAAUGGGCGGAAGCCUGAUCCAGCAACGCCGCGUGAGGGAUGACGGCCUUCGGGUUGUAAACCUCUUUCGGUAGGGACGAAGCGCAAGUGACGGUACCUACUAAAGAAGCACCGGCCAACUACGUGCCAGCAGCCGCCGCCG